GCGAGUGUUCACACAGAUUGUAUAGGUUGAAGUUAUAAGAGGAUAUGUUCCCAAACAUAUCAGCGUGUCCCAUUCGUCUAGAGGCCUAGGACACCGCCCUUUCACGGCGGUAACAGGGGUUCGACUCCCCUAUGGGACGCCAUUGGGUUGUUAGCUCAGUUGGUAGAGCAGUUGACUUUUAAUCAAUUGGUCACAGGUUCGAAUCCUGUACAACCCACCACAUUAUUGUGGGCGAUUAGCUCAGUUGGGAGAGCACCUCCCUUACAAGGAGGGGGUCACUGGUUCGAGCCCGGUAUCGCCCACCACGCUUUAAAGGUUUUUGUUUGAGAAUCUUUAGAACGUGGUUUAUUUAGCAAUAAACGACAUGCUCUUUAACAAUCUGGAAAGCUGACAAGUCAUUCUUUAAGAAUGACAGUAAAGUUCUCAAUCAGUGACAUAUCAUGUCACUCACACAAUCAAGUGUGCUUGGACUUUGUCUUAUUAAAUCAAUAACGACAAAGUUUCUAUUUGAGUCCGGCAAAAACAAAACCUUAGUUGUUUUCAUGCAAGACCUUUUGGGGUUGUAUGG
rnacentral:tRNA from 1 species